GGGGAUUUAGCUCAGUGGUUAGAGCGCUUGCCUAGAAAGUGCAAGGCCCUGGGUUCGGUCCCCAGCUCCG
rnacentral:tRNA from 1 species